rnacentral:rRNA from 1 species
GACGAACGCUGGCGGCGUGCUUAACACAUGCAAGUCGAACGGAAAGGCCCAGCUUGCUGGGUGCUCGAGUGGCGAACGGGUGAGUAACACGUGGGUGAUCUGCCCCUAACUUCGGGAUAAGCUUGGGAAACUGGGUCUAAUACCGGAUAGGACAAUCGUUUAGUGUCGGUUGUGGAAAGUUUUUGCGGUUAGGGAUGAGCCCGCGGCCUAUCAGCUUGUUGGUGGGGUAAUGGCCUACCAAGGCGUCGACGGGUAGCCGGCCUGAGAGGGUGGACGGCCACAUUGGGACUGAGAUACGGACCAGAAUCCUACGGGAGGCAGCAGUGGGGAAUAUUGCACAAUGGGCGCAAGCCUGAUGCAGCGACGCCGCGUGGGGGAUGACGGCCUUCGGGUUGUAAACCUCUUUCGACAGGGACGAAGCUUUGGUGACGGUACCUGUAUAAGAAGCACCGGCUAACUACGUG